UACGGAGGAUGCGAGCGUUAUCCGGAUUUAUUGGGUUUAAAGGGUGCGUAGGCUGUUAUAUAAGUCAGUGGUGAAAUAUUCGGGCUCAACCGGGAUACUGCCAUUGAUACUGUAUAGCUGGAAUAUGGUUGCUGUGGGUGGAAUGUGUGGUGUAGCGGUGAAAUGCAUAGAUAUCACACAGAAUAUCGAUUGCGAAGGCAACUCACAAAGCCGUUAUUGACGCUAAACUGCGAAGGUGUGGGUAU
rnacentral:rRNA from 1 species